AGCCCCGGCACCUUAUUCGGGUGCGUUUCUAAAUUUGCACUUUAG
rnacentral:tRNA from 1 species